AUAAAUAUAUUUUAUAAAUACCUAAUCAAGUCCAGACAAUAAUCAAAAUUGCUUGAAUUUUAGAUAGAAGUAUCAAAUAUCUAAAACUAUAAUAUUUACAACUCUGAUUGUUAAUUCAAAAUUUCCAUCCCCUAUUUUUUAGAAUGUUAAUUAAUUUUGACAGCUCGUUUCUGACGAUUUGAUCCUAACAAACAUUACAAAAUCCUAUCAGAUUUUAUGAAUAUGUAUUUUUUUUAAAAAAAAGCAUAUGAAAAAAAAAAUCACAUUUUGUUUAUAUUUUUAACGAAUAAGCCAGCUCCGACUCAACUGCUGCAGUUGGUACUGCAGCCAAUUUGGCUAUAGUACCAACUGCUGCAAUUGGACUUUCUCGUGCAAAUACAACUGCAGCAGUUGGGUCUAACUAUAUCUAACCAAAUAAAAAAUUAAUAGAUAUAUGCGUUUCCAACUGCAAUACAGUUAGAAAUGUACGUAACCAAACAGUCCCUUAGCGGUGUCGACCCUAUUAUGAAAAACGAUU
rnacentral:lncRNA from 1 species